GACGAACGCUGGCGGCGUGCUUAACACAUGCAAGUCGAACGGAAAGGCCCGGCUUUUGUGGGGUGCUCGAGUGGCGAACGGGGGAGUAACACGUGAGUAACCUGCCCUUGACUUUCGGAUAACUUCAGGAAACUGGGGCUAAUACCGGAUAGGAUCUCCUGCAGCGUGGGGGGGGUUGGAAAGUGUCGGCGGUUGGGGAUGGACUCGCGGCUUAUCAGCUUGUUGGUGGGGUAGUUGCUGACCAAGGUUUUGACGGGUAGCCGGCCUGAGAGGGUGACCGGCCACAUUGGGACUGAGAGACGGCCCAGACUGCUACGGGAGGCAGCAGUGGGGAAUAUGGCACAAUGGGCGGACGCCUGAUGCAGCAACGCCGCGUGCGGGAUGACGGCCUUCGGGUUGUAAACCGCUUUCGCCUGUGACGAAGCGUGAGUGACGGUAAUGGGUAAAGAAGCACCGGCUAACUACGUG
rnacentral:rRNA from 1 species